UGGGGAAUAUUGGACAAUGGGCGCAAGCCUGAUCCAGCCAUACCGCGUGGGUGAAGAAGGCCUUCGGGUUGUAAAGCCCUUUUGUUGGGAAAGAAAUCCAGCUGGUUAAUACCCGGUUGGGAUGACGGUACCCAAAGAAUGAGCACCGGCUAACUUCGUG
rnacentral:rRNA from 1 species